GAUGAACGCUGGCGGCGUGCCUAAUACAUGCAAGUCGAGCGAACAGACGAGGAGCUUGCUCCUCUGACGUUAGCGGCGGACGGGUGAGUAACACGUGGAUAACCUACCUAUAAGACUGGGAUAACUUCGGGAAACCGGAGCUAAUACCGGAUAAUAUAUUGAACCGCAUGGUUCAAUAGUGAAAGACGGUUUUGCUGUCACUUAUAGAUGGAUCCGCGCCGCAUUAGCUAGUUGGUAAGGUAACGGCUUACCAAGGCAACGAUGCGUAGCCGACCUGAGAGGGGGAUCGGCCACACUGGAAGUGAGACACGGUCCAGAGUCCUACGGGAGGCAGCAGUAGGGAAUCUGCCGCAAUGGGCGAAAGCCUGACGGAGCAACGCCGCGUGAGUGAUGAAGGUCUUCGGAUCGUAAAACUCUGUUAUUAGGGAAGAACAAAUGUGUAAGUAACUAUGCACGUCUUGACGGUACCUAAUCAGAAAGCCACGGCUAACUACGUG
rnacentral:rRNA from 1 species